CUGAGGAAGAAGCUGCUAUUUUUAUCUCCUUGCAUUUAUUUCUGUCUGCUGAAAGGCCUCUUACAUAAUAUGUGAGGAAUUCCCCUUUAAAGGGCAUCUCCGUUCAAAAAAUGUUGCCUCCCAUUGUUGGCACUUCUGCUUCAGUGACUGCAGUAAUGAUGGUGGUGUCCGUCAGAAAGCAGUGGUAAGCACAGGUAGACUGCGGCUGGAAGGAGAGGGGCUACUAAGGCAAAACAAGUAAGCAAUACCGCAAUUUCAGAAGAUUCAAAAAUGGACAACAACCAGAAAGACCUGCUUCUCCUAGUUUACAAGAGGAUGUCCUCCAAUCCAUAGGGAACAACUGCAUUUGUGUGAGCAGUACAAUGCACAGAAUAUACGGGUCCGAUUUUCCAUCACACAGCUGCAAAUCCACUGCACUGAUGCAGCACAGGCACAAUGCUUAGGCUUCCUGCAGUCACCACUAGAGGGAGCAGGGGAGCUUAUUUUAUUAUUGAGUCCAGUAUGCAGUAAGCUUCUAAGCUCCCUCUAGUGGUGGCUGCAAGCAGUCAGAACAUUACGUUUUACAGAGAACCUGUCAUUUUCAUGCUGCCUGAACAACGGGGGUAGCAUGAAAUCCCAACAGUCUGGAUCAUCAUUUGUUGUUCCUCUGUUAUUCCUUCUAAAAAUGUAUAAAUUGACAACUGGUUGUUAUUAUUCCCCUCGUCUAAGAAGUGUGUCCCCAUUCUGUCAGCAGUGAUUGGACAAUGCCAGGCUGUUUAGGGACACACCACCAAAUGUUAACACUUACUCGUCAAUGUUUUCAUAAAUUUCUAAGAGGAAUAAGAGGUAAAAGAGAAUACUAAGAAAAUAUAUCCAAGAUUUCUUUAUGGGGAAUACAAGUAGUUACUAAAACAGACAUGUCAGAAGCAGUGACAGGUCCUCUUUAGGAUUCAGUCAGACGGCCUUAUGAAUGAGACCGCAUCCGUUCCGCAAUUUUCCGGAAUGGGUGCGGACCCAUUCAUUUCAAUGGGGUCGCAAAAGAUGCGGACAGCACAUGGUGGUUCCGUUCCACGGCUCCGCAGAAAAGAUAGAGCUUCUACUAUUCUUGAUUGCAAUUCUAUUAUGGUUGGGCCAUGUGCAGUCCGCAAAUUGCGGAACGCACACGGCAGGUAUCCGUGUUUUGCGGAUCCGCAAAGCACUACGGCCGUCUGAAUGAGCCAUUAAAGUGAAUGUUCACAUUUUUACAUUAUAUUGGUUUUAAGUCUGACAUUCAGUGCUGAACUACUGAUAUUUUUUUGGCGGGCACAACUUCAUUUUUCUUAUGUAUAACUCAUUAGAGUCAUCUUCCCACUAGGGGGAGUAAAGCUUACUGCACACUGUUUUAUAAUCGAGAAGGCAGUAUGCUCCCUCUAGUGGCGGCUGCAGGAAAGACAUCAUUCAACUCCUGUAUUUAUCUACACAGGGAAUUUGAAGCUCCGUAUUAAAAAAACUGACCUACAAUGCUAUAGAGAUAUAUUAAGAAAUUAUUCAGCACAGAUUUUUCUACCUAUUUUUCUGAAUAAAGAAAAUUUGUGUUCAAAUAUGGACAUUCACCUUCAGUGGGCCAUACAUAUUAGAUGUAAGUCGACGAUGUAAUGUGUAUGGCGGCGGUCUGACUCAUUUUGGUAAAGAAUACUGAGCAUGUCAGACUCCGGUAUAUCUGGCACUACCCUACAUAAAUAGAUUGCAUAAAUAGUAGUACCCCAAUACCAGUCUUACAUGCGUACUAUCAAAACCUGGACCGGAACCUGGACACUUUCCGGAUAUAUUUGUGUGGGUUCAUCAAAGAUAAAUCUGCACACUAUAAAGGACCCUUCGCCUCUCCUGACAUGUCUGUUUCUGUAAAUACUUGUAUUCUCCACGAACUAUUAACGCUGGAGCAGCUUUUAAAACAAAUGCACAUUGUGCAAUUCCUCUGUUAUUGCUCCUGGAAAUACAUAUAUAUAAAAAUGAAUGACUGUCACCUAUCCCCUUGGAAAUAGGAUGUGGCCCUACACAUUAUGAUACUGUCACAG